rnacentral:lncRNA from 10 species
UGGCAUAGUGCCUGCAUUGAACAAGUACUCAGUGUUUGCUGAAUGAAUGAAUGUGGGUUAGUCAAUACUAGCUCAGCUGCUUACAUCACUUAGCCUCCCCGGGUCUCAGGAUCUCCUUUUAUCUGUGGUGACCAUCCAAUGUAAAGCCCUAGCAUAAGACCUAGCAUGCUUUAGACCCAUGGUUGCCGUGCACAGCCAGCUGCCUGUCAAUCAUUGCCCAUUCCCAUUGCCCACUAGCCAUUGUCCACUCUAUGUUCACCCCUGUUACCUCACCCAGCUGAGGGUCUUAAACAUAGUUUUACCUCUUCUCAAAGGUCAUUCUUUACUUGGUAGGGUAGGGUCUAGAAAGAGUCUGCAAUUUGGUUAGAGUCUAGAUUUAGUUUGCAACCCAGCUGGGCUGGGUGAGCCCAGGCUUGGCUGAUGGUUCAGCUGAGCCCAGAUGGCUCCCAUCUGCCUGGAAAGCAUAGGCUCAGCCUCCCCCUUCCCUGAACCCCUACCAAGCAUCCUGGCUGGCUGUGCUCCUGGUCCUCUUUUACUCUAGUCCAGUUCCUGUCCUGGCUUGGGCUGGGGGUAAGGGCACUUGUUUCUGGCCACUCCUCAUGGAUCUCUAGUCUCUGCCUCUGUCUUUGCCUGCUUGACCCUGGUCCUUGUGCCACUUACAUCAAUGUCCUGAAGCAAUGACUAUUUUUUAUAGGACCGACUCUCAGGAGAUGAAGAUCCAAUCACUCUAUCAAAGAAUAUGAGCAUUUCCGAGGCUCUUGUAAGACAUCCAGCCUCCAGAACUGUGAGUACUAUGCUGAAGAGAGCCCUCAUCAGCACCUGACCAACCUGACCAUGCUGCACCCUCAUCUUAGACGUUCAGCCUCCAGAACUGUGAAUACUAUGCUGAAGAGAGCCCUCACCAGCACCUGACCAUGCUGCACCCUCAUCUCAGAUGUCCAGCCUCC